GUGGGGAAUAUUGGACAAUGGGCGCAAGCCUGAUCCAGCAAUGCCGCGUGUGUGAAGAAGGCCCUCGGGUUGUAAAGCACUUUUAUCAGGAGCGAAAUCUGCACGGUUAAUACCCUUGCAGUCUGACGGUACCUGAGGAAUAAGCACCGGCUAACUCCGUGCCAGCAGCCGCGGUAAUACGGAGGGUGCAAGCGUUAAUCGGAAUUACUGGGCGUAAAGCGUGCGUAGGCGGUUCGUUAAGUCUGCUGUGAAAGCCCCGGGCUCAACCUGGGAAUGGCAGUGGAUACUGGCGAGCUAGAGUGUGAUAGAGGAUGGUGGAAUUCCCGGUGUAGCGGUGAAAUGCGUAGAGAUCGGGAGGAACAUCAGUGGCGAAGGCGGCCAUCUGGAUCAACACUGACGCUGAGGCACGAAAGCGUGGGGAGCAAACAGG
rnacentral:rRNA from 1 species